rnacentral:rRNA from 1 species
GAUGAACGCUGGCGGCGUGCCUAAUACAUGCAAGUCGAGCGAACAGACGAGGAGCUUGCUCCUCUGACGUUAGCGGCGGACGGGUGAGUAACACGUGGAUAACCUACCUAUAAGACUGGGAUAACUUCGGGAAACCGGAGCUAAUACCGGAUAAUAUAUUGAACCGCAUGGUUCAAUAGUGAAAGACGGUUUUGCUGUCACUUAUAGAUGGAUCCGCGCCGCAUUAGCUAGUUGGUAAGGUAACGGCUUACCAAGGCGACGAUGCGUAGCCGACCUGGAGGGUGAUCGGCCACACUGGAACUGAGACACGGUCCAGACUCCUACGGGAGGCAGCAGUAGGGAAUCUUCCGCAAUGGGCGAAAGCCUGACGGAGCAACGCCGCGUGAGUGAUGAAGGUCUUCGGAUCGUAAAACUCUGUUAUUAGGGAAGAACAAAUGUGUAAGUAACUAUGCACGUCUUGACGGUACCUAAUCAGAAAGCCACGGCUAACUACGUG